rnacentral:rRNA from 1 species
UUAAAUUGAAGAGUUUGAUCAUGGCUCAGAUUGAACGCUGGCGGCAGGCCUAACACAUGCAAGUCGAACGGUAACAGGAAGCAGCUUGCUGCUUUGCUGACGAGUGGCGGACGGGUGAGUAAUGUCUGGGAAACUGCCUGAUGGAGGGGGAUAACUACUGGAAACGGUAGCUAAUACCGC